AAGGCUUGACAUGGGCCGGACCGGGCUGGAAACAGUCCUUCCCCUUUGGGGCCGGUUCACAGGUGGUGCAUGGUUGUCGUCAGCUCGUGUCGUGAGAUGUUGGGUUAAGUCCCGCAACGAGCGCAACCCUCGUUCCAUGUUGCCAGCGCGUAAUGGCGGGGACUCAUGGGAGACUGCCGGGGUCAACUCGGAGGAAGGUGGGGACGACGUCAAAUCAUCAUGCCCCUUAUGUCUUGGGCUUCACGCAUGCUACAAUGGCCGGUACAAAGGGUUGCGAUACUGUGAGGUGGAGCUAAUCCCAAAAAGCCGGUCUCAGUUCGGAUUGGGGUCUGCAACUCGACCCCAUGAAGUCGGAGUCGCUAGUAAUCGCAGAUCAGCAACGCUGCGGGAA
rnacentral:rRNA from 1 species